rnacentral:tRNA from 1 species
GCCCAGGUAGUGUAGCGGCCCAUCAUGUCUGCCUGUCACGCAGACGACUCGGAUUCGAAUUCCGACCUGGGCG